GACAGAGGAUGCAAGCGUUAUCCGGAAUGAUUGGGCGUAAAGAGCGUGUAGGCGGCCAUUCAGGUCAGCUGUGAAAACUCGAGGCUCAACCUCGAGACGUCGGUUGAAACCGUCUGGCUAGAGUCCGGAAGAGGAGAGUGGAAUUCCCGGUGUAGCGGUGAAAUGCGCAGAUAUCGGGAAGAACACCCGUGGCGAAGGCGGCUCUCUGGGACGGUACUGACGCUGAGACGCGAAAGCGUGGGGAGCGAACAGG
rnacentral:rRNA from 1 species